CGCACUCAAAUGGAAAACACGCUCGGUCGGCCUCCAAGCUGGGUUUCUCAAAACAAAACACAGCUUAGGGAGACAAAGCAGCGGAGGACGGAAGGACAAGUGUUGGAAUAGCAGACUUGAAAGGGGCCUUGGAGGUCUUCUAGUCCAACCCAUGGAGUUAAUCCCAUUCAUGCCCCCAGGGGAGCAGAGAUUUUGAAGAGUCGGGUCUCUGGUUCACUACUGGGCCACGAAAGCGAUUUAAGAUCCACAUUUUUGGAAACUUUUAAGAAACUCACCGGAUGGGCUCUGAACCGAGAUGCUUGUUAAGCACCUGGACAAGGAGGUCUUCGGAGAAGGGGGGCUGCCCCUCCUUCCUCUGGAUGUCAAGUGGAUUAGCCCCGGAGGAAGGCAAACCGCACAGCCGCUACAGCUGAUCUCUUUAAAAGACAUCCCAGCAGGGUUGGACCAGCAGAUUCGUGGUUGGGAGGCCCAAACCAACCAGAAGGGGGCGACUGUGAGCCAAACAGCACGUGGAAGCCAAAGCCAACCUAGGCUUCAAACUCAAGGUAGACGAUGACUUUGGGUGCUUCUUUUCUGGCUGCGGGGAAAAGCCGAGCCCCCUCUCUCCUGAAAGGAAGCAGGACCCUCCCUCCCCUUCCCGCCCCCGGAUGCUGGAUCAAUCC